GUUACUUUCAGGCCUUUUGGCUGAAAUUGAGUAUAUUAUCUGUUCUUCUCAGUUUAAUAUCUGAUACAUUCUCAAUGAAAAGAUUUUAUAUUAUAUUAUCUCUGUUGUGAUUUUGCACUGGUACAUAAAUCAGCUUUGUCAUGACACUUUCUCAUUCUUCUCCCUGAACAGAAUAAAGGGAGAAAGUAGG
rnacentral:snRNA from 1 species